rnacentral:lncRNA from 1 species
GUUGCCACCGACAUUUGGUCCCGACCCCCCCUGGAAGUGGGCCGGCUGAGCCCCUAGCGCGCCAAGCCAAUACCCACGAUGCCCUUAUCCCAUAUAAAACAGUGCGGUAGCCCUAAAGCCGUGGUCAGAUUGUCGCGCAUUCUCAAUUGCUCGGUGUUGGCCCAAAGCCCCAGGCGCGCACGCCGACCACCCGCUACUGCCCCAUGACCAUAGCUUACAGGUUCUGAGACCCGGUGUGGGCUCAUACAGGCUUUCCGAGCACCGUUCGGGAUACAUGGGACAUGGAAUGUGACCCUGCCGUCCAUACUAAAGCAAUCUAAGCCCCAUCUUUCCCCAUAUGGCACUCUAUAGGGUACACCACAAUCCUCAAGCGCGCCAGGCACCACGUCUAUGUCCGUCUGAAAGCGCUUCCGUCUGAAACCCCAUCCCCAAGCUUCAGUUCCGCCAGGCGUGGGCCCCUGCGCGCUGUGAGCCCAUUUAGCGGCUGCUUUAUUAUGUGCUAGGACCUAGUAUGGCUGCUCGCGCUCGCUGUCGAAGCCACCAGAGCCCAGUUCUGGACUCCCAAAACCCGCGCGCAGCAGCGGCAGGCGUGCGCGUCGCCGCAUUUCCUAAUUCCCAAAUUACAAGCUUUUGUGAUAUCAUAGAGCGUGUUCCUACAGGCUUCCUUGUCCGUUCCUUGGCUUGGCUGCGCUCGCCCAGCUUGAAGUGUCACCCCGAGACAUUGCAAUGCCACUCCAUCACAUUCGUAUGUCCUUGUGUAGCAUCAGAGGCCCAUCGCAAACUACCGACGAUAGAAAGCUUCAGAAACGUGUGUGAUCAUUCGUGCGCUUGGCUCAGCUAGAAAUGGUAGAAGUGACGCAUAAUAUCGCUGCAUAACAUCGUUGGCAAAGGAUUCUUUAGCGUUGGUUUGCUCGCGUAUAGACUCGCUGAGGCAGUGGGACUAUGAUUGUCGUCGAACGCGUCUUCCGCGUAAAAUGUAGCCCAUAGGAACCUUACAUUACAUAUGUAUACUGGGUCUGGCGCUUUGGCGAACACUUGAAACCCUCGGUGUGGAUGAACUUGCGCGAUGGGCGUUCCGGCGAUCAGGGUGUGUGCACCUUCUUGAGCGGCCGAAUCAUUCUAUGCCUGAUUUGUGGGCUCAAAUGGCGAUGUGCACUUUAGGGAGUUUCAGGACGCUUCUAAAGGCCUCAAUAGAUGUUGACGUUUCCCCAAGAACCACGAUAUUGUAAUUAAGGGCCCAUAGGAACCAGCAUGAUGCUGACAUAACGUCGUUUGCGGAAGUUUGCUGCCAAAAGGAGCCCAAACCGAGGAGUUCUUCCUGCGCGCGCUUGUAGUAACACACAAUUCGCGCUCCACUGGGCUGCGCGUGGAUUUCAGCCAGCGCGCAUCACCCCAAACUUAUUG